CAGCCGCCGCCCUCUCCCGUCUUCCGCCGCCGGGCCACGCCAGCAAGGUCCUAUUCUUCCUCGCGCCGGCGACGGCGCACAGGCAGCGAUUCCGACGUCUUCUCCCGUCGCCGCCCUCCUCUCACUCGCCCUGAACUGGUACCAAACUGGAUUGUGACCGGGUUGGAAGCAUAUCCGGAGUCGGAUUGAUUUUAAACCUAGCUUGCUCCCAGUCUGGAGUUAGUUCUGCACCCAAUCGGGCAAAUCCAGGUCUUUCUUCUUCCUCCUAGUCCGGUUGGUUGCGGAUUUUCUUGCUGCCUGAGAAGUCUGCUGAUCCAAACCGUCCGUCCGUCCCCCUCCCUGUGGUUCGAUUUGUCUCUUAGUCUUCGUCAGCGCACAGGAUCGACCUCGGUUGAUACCUGACACCACAGGACCUUCCGACAUCAAGCUCUGCUGAUUGGGUAGAUGGAGGUGCCGAUGAACUCAGCACAAUCCGGUGCUCACUUCCCAGUUCAGCAUCGGUCCGUCUCACUAGACAUCAAGGGCAAUAAGACAGACAUUGUUAUCAGUAAAUAUGAAGAUACCUUUCUGGUGAUUGUGACACAAAUUGGCUGCAUGGGAACCAUACUUGCUGCCAAGAAAGAUGAAAGUGUUUUCUCGGACCCAACCUACAAUGUGGCUGUUCUUUUUGGGAAGAGAGAUGAGCCCCUCUUACUAGCUUGUGCACGCCAACUUAUUGAGCACAUAAGUGGCAGUGGCUCAGCACGGUCGUUGGUGAUCUCUCUUGGUCUGAAAGAUCAUUCUCAGGGAACACUGAAGGAUAUAAUUGCAGCUGUGAUUGAGAAUCGUCUUUGGUGAUGGUUUUGAUUAACUGAGCUGGAGUUGGGAUGGACUGAAGACGCUGACAUGAACAUAUAACAUUGAGCAAGAGGAACCCUCAUUUUAUCAUCAUGGGCGAGGUGGGGAUGGUGGUUGAGGCUUCUCCUGUUGCCAAGAUUUGGGUCUCAUGCUAAACAAAAUCACUUUUGGGGGAAGCAUCUUGUUUUUUUUCUCCAUGUUGCAAGCAAUUUUAUGCUAUCCAACCCAUUCAUCUGCAAACACAUGAAUGCCACUUUCCCUAGGCAAACAAGAAUAAGCUCCCAUCUGGUGGCUCAUGUUGGUUAGGCUAGAAAACAGGACCUAAGACAAGCUCUUUGUUAAAGUGAUUACUUCAAUUU